AUGGGGUUCCUCACGAUGACCGGCGAUGCACCAAGAAGAAUCAGAGUAUGUGACCAGAGUCGAACUUGUGUUGAUGCCUUGAUGGUGUGUUGGGAACAGCUUUGGAAGCGCAGCGGCGCUCUCUCCCCUCGCUCCGUGCGAGCGCAGAUGGAGGAAACGCUCGGCAAGCUGGACAUCUCCAAGGAGGAGGCGACACCCCUGGUGAUCGACGACGCCAACGACGAUGCUCUGACAAAGUGGCUGCUAGCAGGGAAGGUUUUGCAACGCAAUCUUCUUCACAUCCAGACGAUCUGCAAUGCCCUUCACCCUGCUUGGGGAAACCCUAGGGGCCCGACUUUCCGCCCACUAGGAGAGAAUAUGUUUGAUGCUGAGUUUGAAUCCAAGCGAGAUCGAGACCGUGUUUGGGAAGGAGCACCCUGGCACAUCAGCAAAAACGCGGUGAUCUUGGAGUAUUUUGAAGAACACAUCCAGCCUUUUGAGCUCAAGUUUGGCCGGCUGCCAGUCUGGGUAAGGGUAGUUAAUCUACCAUAUAACUUGAGGAACGACACACGGGGCUUGGCGAUAGCCCGACAAAUUGACGAGCACACAUCCAUCGUCCAAAUUGAUCCGGUGGGGGGCUUCUUGAGAGCGAGAGUCGCUAUUGAUGUGCUCAAACCCCUCUGUAGAUGGAUUGUCAUUGAAUCAACCAAGAGAGACAAGGUGGACUGCUAUGACAUCGAGUAUGAACAGAUCCCCCGCUUUUGCUUCUCUUGUGGAAGAUUGGGCCACUUCGGUCUCUUCUGUCCCACUCCAGGGACACGGGAUGCUAAUGGUGAUCUUCCCUUCAAGGCUAGCCUUCGGGCUGCUGAGGAACGGAAGAAAGGUUUUUCUGGUGAGAACUCGACAAAGGAAAAGCAAUAUACGCAGCGCAGCACACGUGAAUCACGUUCGUCAAGCUCCAAGCAGAAGGAGGGGGUCGAGGUGACGUUCCCAGCCAAGAAUCAAGUCCAGAACAAGAGGAAAGGAGGGCCACUGAUCCAAGUCUACCGAAAAGUGGCGCCCACUCCUCUGGCCAUUACAGAGAAAGGAGAAGGGCCUGCAGACGAGCACUUCAGUGUCAAUGCUAGGCCGGAGCCCCACAUGAGAGCAUUCCGGGAUGCGGUUGAUGACUGUUCCCUACAGGAUUUGGGAUGGAGAGAUUGUACGCGAUUUGUGGCAUGCGGGGGUUGGUCGAGGAGGCUUGCAGGGCGUCGUGCAUGCGCUGGCAGUCGUCCAACAGGAUCUGGUGCCUGGGGUGAGCGAGAAUUCAGAAACUUAUCAAAGAAAGUACGCAAGCUACGGAAGCGCCUAGAACAUCUAAGGAGCGUCUCAAUGGGUCGAGGGCCUACGGAGGAAGAGCUCGUUCUUGCAGCGCAACUGCGAGAAGCCAUGAGACAGGAAGAAAUCUGGCUUACGCAAAGAUCGCGAGUGCUUUGGUUACGGGAGGGAGAUCACAAUACUGGUUAUUUUCAAGCUCAAGCCGCUCAUCAUCGUAAAGGAAUCAACCGAAUCACUUAUCUGGAGAACAUACAUGGUCGGAUUUUGCAAGACCCGGAGGAGGUGAAGAAGGAAAUCAGUGACUUCUAUCACGCCUUACAGGCGGUAAAUUGGGAGAAAAGCUCCAUCUACUUCAGUGGCAAUAUGAGACAACCCCUACGACAGACUAUUAAACAGUCUCUCGGGAUUCAUGUAGAAGCAUUUUCAGAACGCUACCUGGGACUCCCAACUGCUAUUGGUAGAAUCACGAGUGGGACAUUUGUUCAUAUGAUGGAUAGAUGUCGUGAUAAAAUGCGAGGCUGGUCAGAGCGGAACAUGGCUUGCGCUGCGAGAGAGGUUCUCAAGACAAUUAUCCAGUCUAUUCCAACUUUCAGCAUGAGUUGUUUCCUUCUAACAAAAAAGGUGUGCAAGAGUGUUACUUCACGCAUGGCAAAAUAUUGGUGGGGGAGCUCAAUUGACAAGCGUUCUCUCCAUUGGCUAUCAUGGAACAAACUUGCGACACCAAAGAUUGUCCAUCAGAAUUUCUUGCAUCCGAUUGUGGUGGUAAUUUUAAAUAUACCUCUGAACCCUUCGGGCGGUGAAGAUACUUUGGCUUGGGCUUUGGAGAACUCGGGCAUCUACUCUGUAAAAUCAGCGUAUCAUUCUCUUGUGACUCACAACGAGCUUUGCUCUUUAGAGGAAGGGGCGACUACGAAAACAUCAUCAGCUAAUACGCAGUUGUGGACUGCCUUGCGGAGACUUAAAGUUGUCCCCAAGGUCCGAGUUUUUUGGUGGAGAAUACUCCGAGGGAUACUCCCUGAUUUUGUAACCUUGCGACAUCGAUACAUCAAGCAUCUUGGCUUGUGUGACAUCUGCAAGGCGAUGUAG
rnacentral:rRNA from 1 species